UGUACUUGAGCAAAACCCUGUGAUCUACAUUCAACCUGUAAGGGUAUCUGAUGAUUUUUCUGCGAUUCAUCAAGUCAUGUUCAGAUUUAUGCUAAUCAAAUUGUGACCAAAACAAGCCCAUUUAAAGAGCACUGUGCAAGCUAAAUAGCCUCUUAAUUAAGAUUGGGUAAGAUUAAGCGCAGAUGACUUCAGAUGGAAACUUCACAAUUUACAGCCAGGGUCAAGAUUCAGGGGUGCUAGUGAGCAAUGAGGCAGUAGAUCACACUCCCUGGUAGCUCCUGCAAAUUUAUAACUACAUUUGGCACAAAUUUAACAUUUUGACAAUUCUCACUACUUGUCAACCCUAUACUGAUGAUAAAGAACAACCCAGACUUCAUUCAUGUGCGCUAGGACAGGAUGAAGGCAAGUUUGAGGAUGCAGUCCUGCAAAGGCAAGAAGCAUAAAGAGACAAGCCCUGCCACCCCCAACUCUCCUGAAGCUAACGUUAGCCACCAGAUGGCUGAUGCUGCUAUCCUAGAGGCCAUCAACUUGCUAUGUACUGAUCUACAAACCACCGAGGUUGAAAUCUACCAGAUAUCAACUCUUGAAUCAAGGAGGUUGCCACCACAAUUAGAGGAGAACUGUCUGCUCUUAAGACCGAAACUCUGAGUGCCAUCCUGGCCUUGCAAACGGCUAGCACCAAUAUGGCUCCAGCAUUACGGAGCUUGAACGUACAGCUACACACUCAUCAGAUGCAAUAACGAAGCUACAGUCAGGUGAAACCUUUAUGCACAGACCUGAAUCAGUUUACAGACAAGUGCAUGGAUCUUGAGGGGCAUCUAGAGAACAAAAUGUGCAGAUUACAAUGCUAAAGGAGGGGACUGAGAAAUGUAUGAAGAUAAAUACAUUUGUCUCGCAGCUCCUAAAAGACAUGAUAUCUCUGGAUGAUGCGCCACUUGUUGAACAUCACACAGGACCCUGCACUCAGAUGAUACAGAACCUCCUUGGUCACUUGUAGUGCAACUCCGCUCUUUUCACAACGUGACAGUGAUUCUCCAGAGAGCUGUGAACCUGAAGGACCCCUUCUACAAAGGGCAGAGGAUCCGUAACUUCCUUGACUUCACUCCCAAGGUCGCAAAACGCGGAGCAGUAUUUAACAGAGCCAGAGAGAAACUUCAGGACAAGCCAGGAGUUUGGUAUGGACUGAGUUUCAUUUUGGCACAGGCAGAGAGGAUGCAGAGGAUCCCGUGACAGACAAUGCUGCAAGUGCUGCGAGUGAUUGGAAAUCAGAAGAGACCUGGAACCACCUAAUUACUUAAGCUAUAUAUCUUGCCUCAGAGGACAUGGCUCUGUCCACUGUGUUGGAAAAUGAACUGAUGGAACUAUCAGCAGACAGCAGCCUGAAGCUUCAGCUCACACAAGUUGACCUUGCUUCUCUCUGGAUACUUGUUGCCAGUCAAUAGCACUCAAAAAUUGGCAAUCAAAUUUCUGUUGCCUCUCACCACCACCUAUUAAUGUGAGUCAGGUUUUCCAUUGCGACUGUCACAAAAUCAAAGGCAAGGAACAAACUGAAAACAACUUUGUAUGCUGCUCUGCAUGUCAGCCUCUCAUCCAUCCCACCAUGACUUGAUCUUAUUAUUUCUUAGAAGCAAACCCAAGUGUCUCACUGAGGAUAAGCAGAAUAUUUAUUUUGGUCAUUGCAGCUGACAGUGGCAUAACACUGUAUUAUGUAUUAUGUAUUCCUGAAAUAAGUUCUCGGAAUAUCUUUUUAUCCUCAAUGAAUAAACUUUGCACUCUCUUA